rnacentral:rRNA from 1 species
AGAGUUUGAUCCUGGCUCAGAUUGAACGCUGGCGGCAGGCCUAACACAUGCAAGUCGAGCGGUAACAGGGGUAGCUUGCUACCCGCUGACGAGCGGCGGACGGGUGAGCAAUACUUGGGUAUCUGCCCAAUAGUGGGGGACAACACGGGGAAACUCGUGCUAAUACCGCAUACGCCCUACGGGGGAAAGCAGGCUUAUGCUUGCGCUAUCGGAUGAGCCCAAGUCGGAUUAGCUAGUUGGUGGGGUAAAGGCCUACCAAGGCGACGAUCCGUAACUGGUCUGAGAGGAUGAUCAGUCACAC